rnacentral:rRNA from 1 species
AGAUUGAACGCUGGCGGCAGGCCUAACACAUGCAAGUCGAGCGGCAGCACGGGUACUUGUACCUGGUGGCGAGCGGCGGACGGGUGAGUAACGCCUAGGAAUCUGCCUGGUAGUGGGGGAUAACGGCUCGGAAACGGACGCUAAUACCGCAUACGUCCUACGGGAGAAAGCAGGGGACCUUCGGGCCUUGCGCUAUCAGAUGAGCCUAGGUCGGAUUAGCUAGUUGGUGAGGUAAUGGCUCACCAAGGCGACGAUCCGUAACUGGUACUGAGAGGAUGAUCAGUCACACUGGAACUGAGACACGGUCCAGACUCCUACGGGAGGCAGCAGGUGGGAAUAGUUGGAACAAGUGGGACAAAGCCUGAUCCAGCCAUGCCGCGUGGUGUGAAGAAGGU